GAAUCUWKCUUCAGGUCSGGGAUAACUACUGGAAACGGUGGCUWAUACCGGAUGUGCCGAAAGGUGAAAGGYUWGCUGCCUGAAGAUGARCUCGCGUCUGAUUAGCUAGUUGGUGUGGUAAGAGCGCACCAAGGCGACSAUCAGUARCUGGUCUGARAGGAUGAUCAGCCACACUGGGACUGARACACGGCCCAGACUCCUACGGGAGGCAGCAGUGGGGAAUUUUCCGCAAUGGGCGAAAGCCUGACGGARCAAUACCGCGUGAGGGARGAAGGCUCUUGGGUUGUAAACCUCUUUUCUCAAGGAAUAASUUC
rnacentral:rRNA from 1 species